rnacentral:rRNA from 1 species
UGCUUGCACUAAACAAUCUUUUCAUAACUUAGUGGCGGACGGGUGAGUAACGCGUGAGUAACCUGCCUUUCACAGGGGGAUAACGUUUGGAAACGAACGCUAAUACCGCAUAACACAGCAGAGUCGCAUGGCUCAGCUGUCAAAGAUUUUAUCGGUGAAAGAUGGACUCGCGUCCGAUUAGGUAGUUGGUGAGGUAACGGCUCACCAAGCCGACGAUCGGUAGCCGGACUGAGAGGUUGAACGGCCACAUUGGGACUGAGACACGGCCCAGACUCC